CUCCGUAGAAAGGGACUUUGUGCACGACCUGCUCUCCUUCUGUUAGGGAAAAAUCUAGGUGUGAGGCUGCUCAGUCCCCCAGCUGGUCGGGCAGAGCCCGCGGGUCCCUGCGGAAUAAAAGAAGGAGUCCAGCCAACCGGAGCAAAUAGCUGUAGACCAAAGUUUAUUGCGCAAUAGGUUCAAAGAGCAAAUUUGAACCCUGAGGAUGGGGUGACAAGGACUUUUAAAACUUUCCCACCAUAUCCCAGAAUACAGUUCGUACAGCAUCAUUGCUACAUCACUGACAUGUCACAAAAGGGGAGGGCUUAACCUUGGCAAACAGGUCCAGACAAAGCCUUGGUACCAGAUUAGCAUAAGCAGACAUGGCAGGGCAAGAGUCAGGUAUAAGAUUAGCAUAGACAAAUAUGUCUUAAGUACCCACCACCCAAAAGUACAACAGAAGUUCCUUUGCAUGUCUGGAGCCUGAGGCGAGUCAGGUGAUGAGAUUUGGCUUCCUUUGGCUAACAAUUGUCCCAGCAAUUGUCACCUCUGGGAACUUCCUGGAGUCCCUUUUCAAGGGGAAAAUAGCUUUGGAAUGGAGGAAACUGGGAAAGGAGAUGAUUUUAUAUUAUUUUUAAAGCUAGGUGACUUCCCUGAGCUGUCAAGUUGAAAGGACAUAUUCAGGCAUAAUAUUUGUAAUAUUUAACUUUAAAGAUGUGGCCCUCCCCGUAAUUUCCGUAACACCUUCUUGUCCCAAUUCGUAUAAUAUCCGCCCUCCCUUCCCCACAGGUGGGCGGGGUUUGCGGCACCAAGCGAGGCUCACCUGGGCAGGUGCCACCCACCUGCCUGAGCUGGCCUUUGACCCGCCCCCGGCCAGGGAGGACAAUGGACAGCCGGCCGGGGGUGGGCCUAAGGCCAAAGGAAAAGAGGCUGACUCCUGGGCUCAAGCCUCUUUUGCUGCUCUUCCUUCUGGGAUCUAGAUCAGGAUCAGGAGUGUAUCCAUCAAGUUGGGGGGGGGAUGCAUUCAUGCUCCCUCCCCAUGCGGCGGCGCUUGCAGGGCCCGUUAAAGGGCAAAAAACCGGGAGUCCCUGGCCCUAGAGCGGCGGCAUGUAGGUCAAACUCCCCGGACAAGGUCAGUGGAAGGGCAUGCUGUGUAAGUUUGCGCUUUGCAGUCCCCUCUCACUGGAGCUCAUCUGCCUGCAUAUCCUCAGCCAGGCGGGCUGAGAGGGUUACCUGCCAAGGCCUGUGCCCAGUUUCCCACUUCUAAAAUUCAAAGUUGUGGCCAAUUUGAACCCAUACUCUGGUCUCUUGUGUCAUCAUUUGGGAAAAGGGGGUAGGCACCACAGACAGGGUUUAUGCCCGCAAUUGUAGAGAUGGGAGGGAACCCCAGGGGUCAUCCAUUCUACCCCCCACCCCUGCGAUGCAGGAAUUGCAAGUGAAGAAUCCCUGGCAGAUGCCUAUUCUAAACUCUGCUUGAAAACCUCAUCCCUCUCUGGUGCAAACUACCCAGCGAAGCUAUUAAACCUCUUUGAUUUUCCAGCAUGCCAAACAGCUUCUGCGUUCUCUCUGCUGCCCAGCGCCUCUGAUUUAUUCCAGCAGCGGAGAAGGAACAGCAGUCGAGGGGAGAUUUUCUUUUUUCUGCAAAAAGGAAAGAGAGGCGGGGGGAGCAGAGCAGAGUCCGCCGCCGCCGCCACUUCGCCUCCUCCAUCCCGGCCUAAAAUCCCGCGGAGCCAAAUGCCCUGAUUAAUUCCGUUGAUGAACUCUCUAACGAUUUCAGAUCAUGUUUUCCAGCCGGCUGAAAGGGAAGGUUAAAAGCAAAGCGACUGGAGGGAAGACAAGCCAGGGAGACAAUUCCCCCACCCCUUGUUGGAGGGGUGGCGGUGGAAAUACGUUCCCAUUUGCGCCCCCCCCCCCAUUUCAGGGGGAAAAAAAGAGAUAACAAGAUUUCGAC